rnacentral:rRNA from 1 species
AGCCAUAAAACACAGGUUCCCGUACGAUCACCGAAGUAAAGCAACAUCGAGCCUGGUCAGUAACUAGAUGGGUAACUGCUUGGGAAUACCAGGUGAUGUAAG